rnacentral:rRNA from 1 species
AUUCUCGCCUCUCGUAUCUUAGUAGCGGGAUUCUACCUGUCCGGGUCAACUAGAUAAUAUAAUAUGGUGGUGCCCGCCCGCCCUCUCUCCGGUGGGAGGUCCUACGCUCAGACCGAGCGUGCGCCGCUUCCUUUUUGUUGUUCCCCGCGGGGGGGGGGGGGCCACACACAAAACCCGCCUGAGGGCACAAUGAAAUUGGCAGGCAAAGCUCCCGAAUACCAAUGGGGGAAGUGCGUUCAAAAAACGAAGAUUCCCCAAAUCUGCAAUUACAUAGUUUUUGCAUUUUCCCCGUCUUCAUUGUGAAAAACAGAGAUUCGCAAUAAAGUCUGACUAAUCGUUCUUCAUGAACCUGUCAGGGCGGGGCCGGGSCCCCCGGGCAACUAGUGGCCGGGGCGCCGACGCCUACGCUGCUGAAGUUGCAGUCUGAGACCUAUAACGAAAUUAGUUAAAACUUUCAACCAAACGGAUCUCUUGGUUCCCGCAUCGAUGAAGAACGCAGCGAAAUGCGAUAACUAAUGUGAAUUGCAGAAUUCAGUGAAUCAUCGAGUCUUUGAACGCACAUUGCGCCCUCUGGUAUUCCCGAGGGCAUGCCUGUCCGAGCGUCAUUGCUGCGCCUCAAAGCCCGGCUUGUGUGUUGGGUCCCGUCCCGCCGCCGGGGGGACGGGCCCGAAAGGCAGCGGCGGCACCGCGUCCGGUCCUCGAGCGUAUGGGGCUUCGUCACCCGCUCUAGUAGGCCCGGCCGGCGCCAGCCGACCCCCAACCUUUAAUUAUCUCAGGUGACCUCGAUCAGUAGGUGCAGUCGUU